rnacentral:miRNA from 1 species
AUUGGGUUAGCCAAAAAGUUCGUUUGGGUUUUUCUGUAACAUCUUUCGUAAAACCCAAGCGAACUUUUUGGCCAACCCAAU